AAGAGAAGGAGAGUACACUUUUAAUGAAUGCGUAGUUGGGGGAUGACCCUGCUGAUUCCAAACAAAUUUUGCUUCCUCAGAAGAUACUGCCGCUGUUGCCAUUUCCUGAGGAUGUUGGAGGUGAAUCCCAGCAGCUGGUCGAAGAUGGUGCACAGAUACCGGUAGUCCAUGACGACCUCCACUGAUCUUCCGCGGAUGGUUGUGGUGACUGCUGCAGCCAAUUCCCGCUGCUUUUUGGAAAAUGUCAUCAUCUCCUUGGUCUUUUUCAUGUUCAUUUGAAAAAACAGGAGCUGGAGUACAUUUAAGCAGAGCGACUGAAUACAUUUACAUUGCUGCUAUACUUAGGUACAUAUUCUCAUAUCUGUACUUCAUUCUUAUAGCUGUACUCCAUUACAUCGUACAGCAACUAUUUUAUUUUUAUUUAACUACAUUUAUGCAUGGCACUGGAAUUUUACCACUUGCUGACUAUUAUGUAUAAUAGCAUGACUUGUAUUUCCAUCAAAGCAUGCGCAAGAACGCAACAGGUGUUUGACAUCAGAAGCUGAGCUAGUUUCAGACAGUGACAAAACCGGAUUCAUAAUCAGGAAGAAGUGUGUUAGUGUGUGUGUGUGUGUGUGUGCGUGCGUGCGUGCGUGUAUGUGUGUGCAUGCAUGUGCGUGUGUGUGUGUGUGUGAAAGAGAAAGAGAGAGUGUUUUUUUUUUUGUGACAAAGGCUACUGUAAGCUUAAUGCCCUCUACAUUUGAUACUUAAGUAAAUCCAAAGGGAAGUGCUUUUCUAGAAAAUCCCCAAGCUGUAUCCCCAGCAUUUGCUACUGAGAAAGUUGCCAUGGUGUCAGCAUGGUGUUGCCGAGUAUUGUCCAGAUUGGGCCCUGACCUUGCAUAUGCUGUAGAAGGUAAGAGGCACAUCGCUCAGGCUACAGGCUUCCUCGAUGAAGAGCAGUGAAGCAUCAUGCGCAGAUAUUCCCUUCAGCUCUCUGUGCAGGGCUGGAGUGUGCUG